AGAGUUUGAUUCUGGCUCAGGAUGAACGCUGGCGGCGUGCUUAACACAUGCAAGUCGAACGGGAUCCAUCGGGCUUUGCUUGGUGGUGAGAGUGGCGAACGGGUGAGUAAUGCGUGACCGACCUGCCCCAUGCUCCGGAAUAGCUCCUGGAAACGGGUGGUAAUGCCGGAUGUUCCACAUGAUCGCAUGUGAUUGUGGGAAAGAUUCUAUCGGCGUGGGAUGGGGUCGCGUCCUAUCAGCUUGUUGGUGAGGUAACGGCUCACCAAGGCUUCGACGGGUAGCCGGCCUGAGAGGGCGACCGGCCACAUUGGGACUGAGAUACGGCCCAG
rnacentral:rRNA from 1 species